CUGCUUUUGCUUCAAUAUGGAUUUCUCUUUAUUGGCUCAUAGCUUUUUUUAUCUUUUUUCUUUUUACUUUGGGAGGAAAGAAACCCUACGAUCCUAGGUGCCAAGCGGGGGAAGGAGAGGGUCAAAACCAGUGUGCUAAUCCCGCAUUGGCUUUCUUGGCUCAUAACUUUAACAAUCAACACAUUAGGACAACAAUCAACACAUUAGGACAUUAAGUCUUGUGCAAGAAUUUAGUUCCUUAUUUUGUUUAAGAGGAUUGCUUUCCUGGUUUUCAAGUUUACUUGUUUCAGACGCUUUCUUCUUAUUUCCCAAGUUAAAAGUUGCUUUUAUAGAAAGAGGCUUGUUGUGAAUUUGUGAUGCAGAAGACCACAAUUGGCUCUGUUCUUGUUAUUGCUUUCACUUUUGUCAAAAGAUCCAUUUUUACCAAACCCCUUUUGUGUGAAUCUGUUGGCUUUUUCUUAUUUGUUGGGGGUGUUGUCGAUAAACCCAAAGCAGGAGGCCAAAUAACUCACACAGAUUUCAGAACAUUUGUCUUGGGUUUCUCAGUCACUUUCAGCUUGUACCGUUUGGCAUAUAAACCCCAUUGAAGGGCAGGAGCCCUCAACAGCACCUCAAAUUGUGACAUUUUAUUUAUUGUAAAAUCCAAUUCACAUCUCUGGAUCUCUCUCUCUCUCUCUCUCUGAGUGUCUGUGACUCAUCUUUUUAAUUAUAUUUUUAUUGGAUAAACUCUUUCUUUAAUGCCAAGAUUCUCUCUUCUCCAACUGAUUCUUCAUCCUUUGUCAACCCAUCUUCUUCUCUCGUGAUCAGCCCAUCACCAUGUCUCUAGUGCAUUUGAUGCUUGGAUCAUUGGUGAGGCUUGUGACAGCACUGAUAGCUCGGCCGGCAGCCACCAUCACAACCUUGCUCUACCACAGUGAUCUUCUCCCUCGAAAUUUCGACUCAGAGCGAUUACGUCGAUUGGUUCGACAUGAGUACCUUCUUGUUCAAGAAAAUUGCCUUUUUAGUUCUCUCAUCAACGUUUUGAGAUGCUUUUGGUAGCACCUCAUUUGGGUUGGCCAAUGUGAUCGGGGUUUUUUGUAUGCAUAAAAAUAGGGUAUUGGGAUCGAAUGUAGAGACAAGCAACAUAUAGUGUUGAAUUUACUUUUGAAGAAUUGCAAUGGUAACCCGGGAAUUUUCCCUUGCGAUAAA